rnacentral:rRNA from 1 species
ACAGGUGGUGCAUGGUUGUCGUCAGCUCGUGUCGUGAGAUGUUGGGUUAAGUCCCGCAACGAGCGCAACCCCUAUCUUUAGUAGCCAGCGGUUCGGCCGGGCACUCUGGGGAGACUGCCAGGGAUAACCUGGAGGAAGGUGGGGAUGACGUCAAAUCAUCAUGCCCCUUAUGACCUGGGCUACACACGUGCUACAAUGGCGUAAACAAAGGGAAGCGAAACCGUGAGGGUGAGCAAAUCCCAAAAAUAACGUCUCAGUUCGGAUUGUAGUCUGCAACUCGACUACAUGAAGCUGGAAUCGCUAGUAAUCGCGAAUCAGAAUGUCGCGGUGAAUACGUUCCCSGGUCUUGUACACACCG